rnacentral:rRNA from 1 species
UACGUAGGUGGCAAGCGUUGUCCGGAUUUACUGGGCGUAAAGGGCGUGCAGGCGGUCUGUUAAGUCUAGGGUGAAAGCUCCUGGCUCAACUGGGAGAGGUCCUUGGAUACUGGCGGACUUGAGGGAGGCAGAGGAAAGUGGAAUUCCCGGUGUAGUGGUGAUAUGCGUAGAUAUCGGGAGGAACACCAGUGGCGAAGGCAGCUCGCUGGGACGUUACUGACGCUGAGACGCGAAAGCGUGGGGAGCAAACAGG